UGAAGGAAAAGCCUAAAGCCCUUACACCCAGUAUAGAACCAGGUGUGUUAGAGCAGGGCUGGCUGAAGGAAAAGCCUAAAGCCCAGACACCCAGUAUAGAACCAGGUGUGUUAGAGCAGGGCUGGCUGAAGGAAAAGCCUAAAGCCCUUACACCCAGUAUAGAACCAGGUGUGUUAGAGCAGGGCUGGCUGAAGGAAAAGCCUAAAGCCCGGACACCCAGUAUAGAACCAGGUGUGUUAGAGCAGGGCUGAAGGAAAAGCCUAAAGCCCAGACACCCAGUAUAGAACCAGGUGUGUUAGAGCAGGGCUGGCUGAAGGAAAAGCCUAAAGCCCUUACACCCAGUAUAGAACCAGGUGUGUUAGAGCAGGGCUGGCUGAAGGAAAAGCCUAAAGCCCAGACACCCAGUAUAGAACCAGGUGUGUUAGAGCAGGGCUGAAGGAAAAGCCUAAAGCCUGGACACCCAGUAUAGAACCAGGUGUGUUAGAGCAGGGCUGAAGGAAAAGCCUAAAGCCCGGACACCCAGUAUAGAACCAGGUGUGUUAGAGCAGGGCUGGCUGAAGGAAAAGCCUAAAGCCCAGACACCCAGUAUCUUUCCACGAGGGUUGGCCACUGCUGAAUUACAAUAUCCAUGUGUGUUGAUAAAGUAGUUGUUUUCACCUGGAUUUCUAGAGUGUAACAUCCUGUGUUUU